rnacentral:rRNA from 1 species
AUUCCAGCUCCAAUAGCGUAUAUUAAAGUUGUUGCGGUUAAAAAGCUCGUAGUUGGAUUUCUGCUGAGGACGACUGGUCCGCCCCCUGGGUGAGCAUCUGGUUCGGCCUGGGCAUCUUCUUGGGGAACGUAUCUGCACUUGAUUGUGUGGUGCGGUAUACAGGACUUUUACCUUGAAAAAAUUAGAGUGUUCAAAGCAGGCGUUUGCUUGAAUAUAUUAGCAUGGAAUAAUGGAAUAGGACGCUGGUUCUAUUUUGUUGGUUUUGAGAACCAGAGUAAUGAUUAGUAGGGACAGUUGGGGGCAUUCAUAUUUCAUUGUCAGAGGUGAAAUUCUUGGAUUUAUGAGAGAUGAACUUCUGCGAAAGCAUUUGCCAAGGAUGUUUUCAUCG